GGAGUCUGGGCCGUAUCUCAGUCCCAAUGUGGCCGUUCAACCUCUCAGUCCGGCUACUGAUCGCAGUCUUGGUAGGCCGUUGCCCCACCAACUAACUAAUCAGAUAUGAGCCCAUCUUUCAGCGGAUUGCUCCUUUGGUACAAAAGGGAUGCCCCUCUCGCACAUUAUGCGGUAUUAGCAGUCGUUUCCAACUGGUUGUCCCCCUCUGAAAGGCAGGUUGCUCAUACAUUACUCACCCGUCCGCCACUAAGUCAAAUUCAAACUUCGACGAAUCUCUGUUCAAAAGUGCUUCGUUCGACUUGCAUGUGUUAGGCACGCCGCCAGCGUUCAUC
rnacentral:rRNA from 1 species